rnacentral:rRNA from 1 species
UACAGAGGGGGCAAGCGUUGUCCGGAUUGACUGGGCGUAAAGCGCACGUAGGUGGUUGGUUACGUGGUGUGUGAAAGCUCAGGGCUUAACCCUGAUAGGCCAUGCCAAAACGAGCCGACUCGAGGCUGAGCAGAGGCGGGUGGAAUUGCCGGUGUAGUGGUGAAAUGCGUAGAGAUCGGCAGGAACACCAAGGGGGGAACCCAGCCCGCUGGGCCAGUCCCUGACACUGAGGUGCGACAGCGUGGGGAGCGAACAGG